rnacentral:rRNA from 1 species
AGAGUUUGAUUAUGGCUCAGAUUGAACGCUGGCGGAAUGCUUUACACAUGCAAGUCGAACGGCAGCACGGGAGCUUGCUCCUGGUGGCGAGUGGCGAACGGGUGAGUAAUGCGUCGGAACGUACCGAGUAAUGGGGGAUAACGCAGCGAAAGCUGUGCUAAUACCGCAUACGCCCUGAGGGGGAAAGUGGGGGAUCGCAAGACCUCACGUUAUUCGAGCGGCCGACGUCUGAUUAGCUAGUUGGUGGGGUAAAGGCUCACCAAGGCGACGAUCAGUAGCGGGUCUGAGAGGAUGAUCCGUCACACUGGAACUGAGACACGGUCCAGACUCCUACGGGAGGCAGCAGUGGGGAAUUUUGGACAAUGGGGGCAACCCUGAUCCAGCCAUUCCGCGUGAGUGAAGAAGGCCUUCGGGUUGUAAAGCUCUUUCAGCCGGAACGAAACGGUACGCACUAAUAUUGUGUGCUAAUGACGGUACCGGCAGAAGAAGCACCGGCUAACUACGUGCCAGCAGCCGCGGUAAUACGUAGGGUGCGAGCGUUAAUCGGAAUUACUGGGCGUAAAGCGUGCGCAGGCGGAUUGUUAAGCAAGAUGUGAAAUCCCCGGGCUUAACCUGGGAAUGGCAUUUUGAACUGGCAGUCUAGAGUGUGUCAGAGGGGGGUGGAAUUCCACGUGUAGCAGUGAAAUGCGUAGAUAUGUGGAGGAACACCAAUGGCGAAGGCAGCCCCCUGGGAUAACACUGACGCUCAUGUACGAAAGCGUGGGUAGCAAACAGGAUUAGAUACCCUGGUAGUCCACGCCCUAAACGAUGUCAACUGGUUGUUGGGGGGAGUGAAAUCCCUUAGUAACGAAGCUAACGCGUGAAGUUGACCGCCUGGGGAGUACGGUCGCAAGAUUAAAACUCAAA